rnacentral:rRNA from 1 species
AGAGUUUGAUCCUGGCUCAGAGCGAACGCUGGCGGCAGGCUUAACACAUGCAAGUCGAGCGGGCGUAGCAAUACGUCGGCGGCAGACGGGUGAGUAACACGUGGGAACGUACCUUUUGGUUCGGAACAACACAGGGAAGCUUGUGCUAAUACCGGAUAAGCCCUUGCGGGGAAAGAUUUAUCGCCGAAAGAUCGGCCCGCGUCUGAUUAGCUAGUUGGUGAGGUAACGGCUCACCAAGGCGACGAUCAGUAGCUGGUCUGAGAGGAUGAUCAGCCACAUUGGGACUGAGACACGGCCCAAACUCCUACGGGAGGCAGCAGUGGGGAAUAUUGGACAAUGGGCGCAAGCCUGAUCCAGCCAUGCCGCGUGAGUGAUGAAGGCCCUAGGGUUGUAAAGCUCUUUUGUGCGGGAAGAUAAUGACGGUACCGCAAGAAUAAGC